rnacentral:rRNA from 1 species
AUGAGGAAUAUUGCGCAAUGGGGGAAACCCUGACGCAGCGACGCCGCGUGGGUGAGGAAGUCCUUCGGGAUGUAAAGCCCUUUUCUGGGGGAAGAAAAAAAUGACGGUACUCCAGGAAGAAGCCCCGGCUAACUACGUGCCAGCAGCCGCGGUAAUACGUAGGGGGCAAGCGUUGUCCGGAUUUACUGGGCGUAAAGCGCGCGUAGGCGGAGGGAGAAGUCCGGUGUGAAAGCCCACGGCUCAACCGUGGAAGGUCGCUGGAAACUCUUCUUCUUGAGGGCGACAGAGGGAAGUGGAAUUGCUGGUGUAGCGGUGAAAUGCGUAGAUAUCAGCAGGAACACCCAUGGCGAAGGCAGCUUCCUGGGUCGGCCCUGACGCUGAGGCGCGAAAGCGUGGGGAGCGAACGG